ACCACCCUUUAAUGUUUGAUGUUCUAACGUUGACCCGUGAUCCGGGUUGCGGACAGUGUCUGGUGGGUAGUUUGACUGGGGCGGUCUCCUCCUAAAGAGUAACGGAGGAGCACGAAGGUUGGCUAAUCCUGGUCGGACAUCAGGAGGUUAGUGCAAUGGCAUAAGCCAGCUUGACUGCGAGCGUGACGGCGCGAGCAGGUGCGAAAGCAGGUCAUAGUGAUCCGGUGGUUCUGAAUGGAAGGGCCAUCGCUCAACGGAUAAAAGGUACUCCGGGGAUAACAGGCUGAUACCGCCCAAGAGUUCAUAUCGACGGCGGUGUUUGGCACCUCGAUGUCGGCUCAUCACAUCCUGGGGCUGAAGUAGGUCCCAAGGGUAUGGCUGUUCGCCAUUUAAAGUGGUACGCGAGCUGGGUUUAGAACGUCGUGAGACAGUUCGGUCCCUAUCUGCCGUGGGCGCUGGAGAACUGAGGGGGGCUGCUCCUAGUACGAGAGGACCGGAGUGGACGCAUCACUGGUGUUCGGGUUGUCAUGCCAAUGGCACUGCCCGGUAGCUAAAUGCGGAAGAGAUAAGUGCUGAAAGCAUCUAAGCACGAAACUUGCCCCGAGAUGAGUUCUCCCUGACUCCUUGAGAGUCCUGAAGGAACGUUGAAG
rnacentral:rRNA from 1 species